CACGCCCUAAACGAUGCGAACUGGAUGUUGGGGACACUUAGGUCUUCAGUAUCGAAGCUAACGCGUUAAGUUCGCCGCCUGGGAAGUACGGUCGCAAGACUGAAACUCAAAGGAAUUGACGGGGGCCCGCACAAGCGGUGGAGUAUGUGGUUUAAUUCGAUGCAACGCGAAGAACCUUACCUGGCCUUGACAUGCACGGAACUUUCCAGAGAUGGAUUGGUGCCUUCGGGAACCGUGACACAGGUGC
rnacentral:rRNA from 1 species